CCUACGGGAGGCUGCAGUGGGGAAUAUUGGACAAUGGGGGGAACCCUGAUCCAGCCAUGCCGCGUGUGUGAAGAAGGCCCUCGGGUUGUAAAGCACUUUCAGUGAGGAAGAACGCCUGGUGGUUAAUACCCAUCAGGAAAGACAACUCCCACAGAAGAAGCACCGGCUAACUCCGUGCCAGCAGCCGCGGUAAUACGGAGGGGGCGAGCGUUAAUCGGAAUUACUGGGCGUAAAGCGCGCGUAGGUGGCUUGAUAAGCCGGUUGUGAAAGCCCCGGGCUCAACCUGGGAACGGCAUCCGGAACUGUCAAGCUAGAGUGCAGGAGAGGAAGGUGGAAUUCCCGGUGUAGCGGUGAAAUGCGUAGAGAUCGGGAGGAAUACCAGUGGCGAAGGCGGCCUUCUGGACUGACACUGACACUGAGGUGCGAAAGCGUGGGUAGCAAACAGGAUUAGAUACCCGGGUAGUC
rnacentral:rRNA from 1 species